UACGUAGGGUGCGAGCGUUGUCCGGAAUUAUUGGGCGUAAAGAGCUCGUAGGCGGUGUGUCACGUCGGCCGUGAAAACCUGCAGCUUAACUGUGGGCGUGCGGUCGAUACGGGCAUCACUGGAGUUCGGCAGGGGAGACUGGAAUUCCUGGUGUAGCGGUGAAAUGCGCAGAUAUCAGGAGGAACACCCGUGGCGAAGGCGGCUCUCUGGGACGUGACUGACGCUGAGACGCGAAAGCGUGGGGAGCGAACAGG
rnacentral:rRNA from 1 species